GAUGAACGCUAGCGAUAGGCUUAACACAUGCAAGUCGAGGGGCAGCACGGUGUAGCAAUACACGUGGUGGCGACCGGCGUACGGGUGCGUAACACGUAUGCAACCUACCCGCUAGUUGGGGAUAACCCGGCGAAAGUCGGACUAAUAUCCCAUAUUAUUCUUACCGGGCAUCCGGUGAGUCUGAAAGAUUUAUCGAUUGCGGAUGGGCAUGCGGAUGAUUAGCUAGUAGGUGGGGUAACGGCUCACCUAGGCGACGAUCAUUAGGGGUUCUGAGAGGAAGGUCCCCCACACUGGAACUGAGACACGGUCCAGACUCCUACGGGAGGCAGCAGUGAGGAAUAUUGGUCAAUGGGCGCUAGCCUGAACCAGCCAAGUCGCGUGAAGGAUGACAGAUCUAUGGUUUGUAAACUUCUUUUGCAGGGGAGUAAAGUGCGACACGUGUGUUGUAUUGCAAGUACCCUGCGAAUAAGCAUCGGCUAACUCCGUG
rnacentral:rRNA from 1 species